rnacentral:lncRNA from 1 species
GGAUAUUAGGUUUGUUACAAUUUUCCAUAUUUUAUUAUUUCAGGUAUGUAAUUGGUCUUUGAGAGUAACAUUAAUAAUAAAAUAAACAGGAGUUAAUCCAAAAAUUUCAACAAAAAUUCAACAAAAAUGGUUUUGAGGUGGGAUUUUCUUGGCUUUUUUGGCUGAGUUAACCCCUGAAAUCACAGGUGCACAUUUCUUUCCUCCCUCCAUUUGGCCCAGGUGGUGGCAUUCACUCCAGAUUAGAAUUUAAGGCUGCAUCUUGUACUUUGGUGCUAUUUUGUGGUUUAUAAACUGCCCCUACCGAAAAACCCAGGUGUGCCAAACAUAGCAACCUCAGGUGGAGUACCUACAGGGAGUAUUUCUGCGUCCCUGCCAAGAGGGGUUCCAGCUGGAUCAGUUUUACACGACAGGACUUGGACACCUCAGUGUCCUGUCAUGGCUCUGCCCAUCAUGCAGGCCUUGCUUGCCCUCUCCUGCCUCCACCCCUCGGUAGCAGUGGCUGCGAUCACUGCUGCCAGGUUUUCAGCUGUGGUUUGUUACAAGGCAGCUAACAAUUGUCCCGUCGGAACAGGGAUAACACAUAGCAGAUGAAGAGCAGUGAUUUUAUUGAACUCUCCACGCAGGUAUUCCUGCUGGCUUGGUUUGAAGAGUUAACUUUUCCUCUACCUCCACGCUGGUUUGCACUCACCUAUGAGGAGAAGCAUUCAGUCUCUCCAUUUUUCUGUUUCUCCAUUUUCAGUGAAUUCUCACCCUGUGGGAAGUCUAAGGGGGAGAGAGUUGGUCAGAGUGGAAAAUUAAGGUGA